rnacentral:rRNA from 1 species
GACGAACGCUGGCGGCGUGCCUAAUACAUGCAAGUAGAACGCAGUUGCGAACGGGUGAGUAACGCGUAGGUAACUGCCUCAUAGCGGGGGAUAACUAUUGGAAACGAUAGCUAAUACCGCAUACUGUGAGAUGGACCUGCGUUGGAUUAGCUAGGUGGUGAGGUAAAGGGUCACCAAGGCGACGAUACAUAGCCGACCUGGGAGGGUGAGCGACCAAACCUGGAACGAGACAAGGGCCAGAACCCGUCGGGAGGCAGGAGUAGGGAAAUUUUGGAAAAGGACGGAAGGCUGACCGAGCACAGGCGCGGGAGGGAAGAAGGUUUUCGGGUCGUAAAGCUCUGUUGUUAGAGAAGCGGUAACUACCCAGAAAGCGACGGCUAACUACGUGCCAGCAGCCGCGGUAAUAC